CCUACGGGAGGCAGCAGUGAGGAAUAUUGGUCAAUGGACGAGAGUCUGAACCAGCCAAGUAGCGUGAAGGAUGACUGCCCUAUGGGUUGUAAACUUCUUUUAUAUGGGAAUAAAAUGUUCCACGUGUGGGAUUUUGUAUGUACCAUAUGAAUAAGGAUCGGCUAACUCCGUGCCAGCAGCCGCGGUAAUACGGAGGAUCCGAGCGUUAUCCGGAUUUAUUGGGUUUAAAGGGAGCGUAGGUGGAUUGUUAAGUCAGUUGUGAAAGUUUGCGGCUAAACCGUAAAAUUGCAGUUGAAACUGGCAGUCUUGAGUACAGUAGAGGUGGGCGGAAUUCGUGGUGUAGCGGUGAAAUGCUUAGAUAUCACGAAGAACUCCGAUUGCGAAGGCAGUUCACUGGACUGCAACUGACACUGAGGCUCGAAAGUGUGGGUAUCAAACAGGAUUAGAUACUCCAGUAGUC
rnacentral:rRNA from 1 species